rnacentral:misc_RNA from 1 species
GAUGAAGAACGUAGCGAAAUGCGAUAAGUAAUGUGAAUUGCAGAAUUCAGUGAAUCAUCGAAUCUUUGAACGCACCUUGCACCCUUUGGUAUUCCGAAGGGUACGCCCGUUUGAGUGUCAUUGUAAUCUCACUUUGACAAUCUUUUUGUCGAAUGUGGACCUGGACGUUGUCGUGUUGACGACUCGUUUGAAAUGCCUGAGUGUACCCCGCUUUUGCGGCGUAUCAGUGUGAUAGACAUCUUCACUGUUAAGUCCUUUUUGGACACGCUACGCAUCGUGGGCUCUAUGCUUCUAACCGUCUCCCUGAGACAAUCUCUGACAAUUUGACCUCAAAUCGGGUGGGACUACCCGCUGAACUUAAGCAUAUCAAUAAGCGGAGGA